CCUACGGGAGGCAGCAGUGGGGAAUUUUGGACAAUGGGCGCAAGCCUGAUCCAGCAAUGCCGCGUGCAGGAUGAAGGCCUUCGGGUUGUAAACUGCUUUUGUACGGAACGAAACGGUGAGCUCUAAUACAGUUUGCUAAUGACGGUACCGUAAGAAUAAGCACCGGCUAACUACGUGCCAGCAGCCGCGGUAAUACGUAGGGUGCGAGCGUUAAUCGGAAUUACUGGGCGUAAAGCGUGCGCAGGCGGUGAUGUAAGACAGAUGUGAAAUGCCCGGGCUCAACCUGGGACCUGCAUUUGUGACUGCAUCGCUAGAGUACGGUAGAGGGGGAUGGAAUUCCGCGUGUAGCAGUGAAAUGCGUAGAUAUGCGGAGGAACACCGAUGGCGAAGGCAAUCCCCUGGACCUGUACUGACGCUCAUGCACGAAAGCGUGGGGAGCAAACAGGAUUAGAUACCCUGGUAGUCCACGCCCUAAACGAUGUCAACUGGUUGUUGGGUCUUCACUGACUCAGUAACGAAGCUAACGCGUGAAGUUGACCGCCUGGGGAGUACGGCCGCGAAGGUUGAACGUUAAGGAAUUGACGGCUGAGAGNGCGAGGACGACGACGAGGGAGAGG
rnacentral:rRNA from 1 species